rnacentral:sRNA from 1 species
AGUCGUAACAAGGUUUCCGUAGGUGAACCUGCGGAAGGAUCAUUGUCGAAACCUGCCCCGCAGAACGACCCGCGAACUAGUGAUCGAGAUCGGGGGAGGUCGCGCGCCCGCAGCCCAGGCUGCCCGCGUCGGCACCUCCCGCCGCGGGGGUCGGGCGAGGUACCUCUCGCUCGAUCCUCUCGGCAGAACAACGAACCCCCGGCGCGAGCCGCGCCAAGGAAAAUUUAACGAGAGAGAGCGCUCCCGUGGCCCCGAGCACGGAUCRGCGCGCGGGAUGCGUCUCUUUCUUUCGACGAAAAUAAUCCAAAACGACUCUCGGCAACGGAUAUCUCGGCUCUCGCAUCGAUGAAAAAUGCGAUACUUGGUGUGAAUUGCAGAAUCCCGUGAACCAUCGAGUUUUUGAACGCAAGUUGCGCCCCAAGCCUUUAGGCCGAGGGCACGUCUGCCUGGGUGUCACGCAACGCUGCCCCCUCCGCCAACCCCUCCGGGGAAAGGUCGGACGGGCGGAGACUGGCCUCCCGUGCGCUCCCGCUCGCGGUUGGCCCAAAUAUGAGUCCUUCGGCGACCGCGCCGCGACGAUCGGUGGUGGAAAUGCCCUUCGAGCUACCGUCGCGCGCUCGCGUCCCCGUGCUACGGGCUCGCGGACCCUUGUAAGCGCCCUCUCUCCCGCUUCGCGGGACGGCGCUCGCACUGCGACCCCAGGUCAGGCGGGACUACCCGCUGAGUUUAAGCA